AAGACGGGGGGCAGCAGUAGGGAAUCUUCGGCAAUGGACGGAAGUCUGACCGAGCAACGCCGCGUGAGUGAAGAAGGUUUUCGGAUCGUAAAGCUCUGUUGUAAGAGAAGAACGAGUGUGAGAGUGGAAAGUUCACACUGUGACGGUAUCUUACCAGAAAGGGACGGCUAACUACGUGCCAGCAGCCGCGGUAAUACGUAGGUCCCGAGCGUUGUCCGGAUUUAUUGGGCGUAAAGCGAGCGCAGGCGGUUAGAUAAGUCUGAAGUUAAAGGCUGUGGCUUAACCAUAGUAGGCUUUGGAAACUGUUUAACUUGAGUGCAAGAGGGGAGAGUGGAAUUCCAUGUGUAGCGGUGAAAUGCGUAGAUAUAUGGAGGAACACCGGUGGCGAAAGCGGCUCUCUGGCUUGUAACUGACGCUGAGGCUCGAAAGCGUGGGGAGCAAACAGGAUUAGAUACCCCUGUAGUC
rnacentral:rRNA from 1 species